rnacentral:rRNA from 1 species
AUUGAACGCUGGCGGCAUGCUUUACACAUGCAAGUCGAACGAGUGGCGAACGGGUGAGUAAUAUAUCGGAACGUACCGAGUAAUGGGGGAUAACCAAUCGAAAGAUUGGCUAAUACCGCAUAUUAUUCGAGCGGCCGAUAACUGAUUAGCUAGUUGGGGGGGUAAAGGCCUACCAAGGCGACGAUGAGUAGCGGGUCUGAGAGGACGAUCCGCCACACUGGGACUGAGACACGGCCCAGACUCCUACGGGAGGCAGCAGUGGGGAAUAUUGCACAAUGGGCGCAAGCCUGAUGCAGCCAUGCCGCGUGUAUGAAGAAGGCCUUCGGGUGGUAAAGUACUUUCAGUCGGGAGGCGUUACCUACAGAAGAAGCACCGGCUAACUCCGUGCCAGCAGCCGCGGUAAUUC